CAGAACUGCCUCCUUUACCAACUCCAGAAACUACAACACAGCUGAUAAAACCAAAAUCCACCACAGCAGCUACAUACACUGUUCCCACACACCACAGUGAAGCCACAACAGCCUCUCUAACAACCCACUCCAAACAUCAUGAUCACAUCCAAAAAGUGUCCAGAAGUGAGUGAGUGACAUCUACCUGCUGAACAACC